UUCGCAAAAUAAUUAGCGCAUGCUUGGCACUUCCGCCGGGUCAAAUAUGAGUCAUUAAAUGACUCCCGCCUCCUGGUGGUAGAGGGCGCUAGUGAUCCUUCUUGCGACUGCUGGUACUGCAGAAGAGUGCUGCAGAAGAAGACAACCGGCAGCAAGAGUGCGCAGCCAUUGUUUGCUUGGACUUUUACCAUGGAGGAUUACAUAUCUAAAAUAAAACAGUUUUCUAAACUGGACUUUCAAUCGAAGCAGGAAGAUCUCCAUCGAGACAGAGAGACUUUUAAAACUAAAGAAAGAUAAGUAAGACUUCUAUGUCGAUGCUUUUCUUCAAAAGGAGCUGGCAUGGACUCAUUUACACCUAAAGACCAUCUUCCAGCCACUUUCCGACUGUAUCUUCAGGAUGCGCCACAAAAAGAGUCUCUCGCUCGUGCUCCGGCUGCCAACUCGCCACCCUCAACGACC